rnacentral:rRNA from 1 species
AUACGGAGGGGGUUAGCGUUGUUCGGAAUUACUGGGCGUAAAGCGUACGUAGGCGGAUUAGUAAGUUAGGGGUGAAAUCCCGAGGCUCAACCUCGGAACUGCCUCUAAAACUGCUAGUCUUGAGUUCGAGAGAGGUGAGUGGAAUUCCUAGUGUAGAGGUGAAAUUCGUAGAUAUUAGGAGGAACACCAGUGGCGAAGGCGGCUCACUGGCUCGAUACUGACGCUGAGGUACGAAAGUGUGGGGAGCAAACAGGAUUAGAAACCCCGGUAGUCC